rnacentral:pre_miRNA from 1 species
CGAGCUCUGCUAUGUUUGAGAUUUGAGACUUAGAGGUAUGUUUACUAGCCUACCUCUAAGUCUCAAAUCUCAAACAUAGCAGAGCUCG